ACCACCCCCCCGGCGAGUACGGGAGUGCGGGUAGCGGUAAGGGAGCGGCAGCAGGGGCUGCGCGUUUCCUUACGUCUCGGGUUGCCGGUUAACGGGGGGUAAGUAACAUUCGCUGCCUCCGUAGGCAAUGAUGAGCUUUGAGGAGAGUGGUAAUUUUAAAAAGGAAAUGUCUUCUCAUCAGCGCGUCCUUUGUUCCAAAUGUAUUCUGAAGGGAAAUCAGGAAAUGAAAGAAAGGAACAUUGCGUUUUGGUUCUGACUUUAAGGAAGGAGACGUGCCCACCGAUAGUUAUUAAUCAUCAGUAAUGUACUUAGAAACAUACGUGUCUUUAAACUGCUCUUCAAAGUUGGCACGGGGACCGAUGAACUGCGCUCCCUAGAAAACGGGAAGUUCAGAUCCAGACUUUCCCUUCCUUCGUCUUUCAAUACAGGUAUAUCCCUGGUAAACCGUGGUUUGUUAAGCAAUAAAUUCAAGAGUCAAAUACAGGUGGAACUGCUGCAGUGCCUCAGCAUCACAGCUGCCUCCGUGUGCUAAGUGCUGCAGACCCACUAGGGCGUGCAGGCACUGCUCUGCUGAAAUACCACUCGUGGUCCUACUUGAUGCCUUUGUUACACAGAGCCGUGUAGCGAUCUGUGGGUUCAGUGAGGUAACCUAAUGUAGGCAGGCCAGCCCCCCAGGAAGAUGCUCACUGAGUGAGCAGAGCUGGAAAGGACUUUCAUGCAGAAAUACCUGACGAGUGCAGAGAUCAGGUGAGAACAUGCAGAUGCAGCCUGCUUGGGUGGGGGUGGGCAGUACAGCCUUGCAGUUGAGAUCGAGGAAAUGCUUGGUUGCAGCUCACUAAUGUUACUCUGUUUUUCAGUGAUACCUUUUCGAGUCCUGAAGAAGUCUACCGCAAGCAGCGAGCAGAUAGUAUAGUACUCUUGGCCACUUUGGGCUAGAGAAUCACUUUGGUUUUUCCAGCCUCUACUGCCUUCAUUUCUGACCUGUGAUUUCACCAGAUGGCGAACAACAUAACUGUAUUUGUGGGGAAUACAAAGAUUGGCUGAUAGGUAAUGGAGGACGCCUGUUGUUUACCCACACUUGCAUCAUUGUGCACCUGAAAUAUACAAAAGCAUGUGGAAGCUGCUUUGACCAUCCAUGUAGGGCCAUGACAUACACAAGAACUGAUUAAAAUGAAGGUUUUUGGUCGGCAUCCAUAUACGCAAACCAAAGAUGGAAGAGCUGCAUCUCAAAUAUCCAACUGUGUUCCUACUCAGCAAUGCCAGGGGUUAGAGGUAAGUGUGCUUAUGUGAGUUCUUAUGCUUGGUGCAUUGUGGGCUUGCAGUUUGUGAAAAAAUGGCCUUGAAAAAAGAUGUCAGGAUGUUCUUGCAGCUUCGCAGAUGGCCAGAGGCAGGCUGGAAUAUGUAUGUGUGUAGUGCCCCAGUAUCCAUCAGCUUCUGAAAUACAAGUGAAAGCAGUAUUUCUCUUGCUGUUUUACAUCCCAGACUUGGUACGAGCAAGCACAGAUGUGUCUUUUGUGCAGGAGAGGGAAGGAAGAGAGAGCCAAAUGAAAAAUCCUGAAUGACAACAUCUCCAAGUAUCACAGCAGUACCUUCUAAAGCUGGAAGAUAAAGCUGAUGAGGUGGUUACCAUGGCUACAGAAGCGGCAUAUUUGAAUGAAAAUUGAUUUUAAGCUUUUAAAUGCUAAUUGCAUCUGUGAACAGGUGACAUUUGAAAUAUCUUUUUCUCCCUCCUCCCUCCCCCCAUAUGUUGCAGAGUAUAAUGAGUGAAAGAAGAGGGUGACAAAGGUGACAACACACUGUUAAAUUAGAACACUGAUACAGUCUUCAACACUAAAGUAUGUCACACCAUUUGCUUGUGUAGUAGUACAAGUAAUAAGUGAACACAUAUAUAGAUCACAGUGUCUGAGGAGCAGAAACUGUCUAGAACCCAAUUAAUAUAUUUUUCAUGGUAUUGUGAAAAAUUAAACAGCUUUAUUUAAAUUAAUCACCAGAACAAUUGUUUCUGGUAGCUCAUAAUAAAGAGGCUAUUAAAACUUACCAUUCAGAAACUGCUAUAAAUUCUCAGUGAUGAGGAAGCUUUGCAAAUGCCUGGAAUUAGAAGCAUUUCUUAUUUCACUCUGUACACUGGGAAAUAAAGUUGAACUUCUACACAGUAGUAGACUCAGACUAGGGAACCAAGAUGCUGUGUAGACUGGUGUUACUGUGCAACUGCUGCUAAUUGCUGUCACACCACUGUCUGACCACACUCAGGCUGUAGUUGCAGAAGACAUAGAAGGUGUAAUUUACCUCACUGUAAGCAUAGUUUUAAUAUGAUCUGAAAGCUCUUUAACUUGCAGUGGGUUACAUUCCACUUGUUAGCGCUUGCUUUUCGAAACACUCUUGAUAUGAUUACUGUUUAAGACAUGAUCAGUUGUAAUGCAGAUUUAUAUUUUGUUAAAUUAAUUGUAAAAUUGUAAAUAAAAAUUGUAAAUCUGUGAGGGGUUUCAGAUUAUUUUAGUUUUUUGUUUGUUUGUUUGUUUUUCAUUUUUGUUUUUUAAUAUGCAGUGUGAGAAAUCUGGUGGUUUUGGCUGUGUUCUGCUUAGUUACAAUGAGCACUGUAACAUCCUUUGGUAAGGAGGCUAAAUUUUUGAUUCAGAGUUACUGCUAAUGAACACU